rfam:Triticum aestivum genome assembly, contig: Triticum_aestivum_CS42_TGACv1_scaffold_376435_5AL
AUAAUACUCCAUCCGCCCCAAAAUUCUUGUCUUAGAUUUGUCUAAAUACAGAUGUAUCAAGUCACGUUUUAGUUUUAGAUACAUCCAUAUCUAGAAAAAUCUAAGACAAGAAUUUUAGGACGAAUGAAGUAUAAA